UACGUAGGGGGCGAGCGUUGUCCGGAAUCAUUGGGCGUAAAGAGCGUGUAGGCGGCUUGGCAAGUCUGACGUGAAAGCCCGCGGCUCAACCGCGGAUUGUCGUUGGAAACUGCCUCGCUAGAGGGCUGGAGAGGAGAUCGGAAUUCACGGUGUAGCAGUGAAAUGCGUAGAUAUCGUGAGGAAGACCAGUGGCGAAGGCGGAUCUCUGGACAGCUCCUGACGCUGAGGCGCGAAGGCUAGGGGAGCAAACGGG
rnacentral:rRNA from 1 species